AAUGGGUUAGGUAAAUGUUUCAUGAUAAGAAUUUCAUGUCUUUUGUAUUAAAGAAUUAAAUGGAUGAAAUAUGAAGUUUUAUUAAAAGAAAAAGGGGUGAAAAGAACAAAGUUUUGUCCAUCUUUGUUCAUCAUAACUGAAAGUUAGAGAAGAGAAAGGAGAGGAGAAAGCUCUUGAGUUUUCGGUCAUUAGGGGGAGGAAAAUUGAAGGCGGUUCGUGUGUGGAUCUCGUCAGCAUGUCGUCGCAAACAGGAAAUCCCCAACCAUAGUGGGCUUGGAGUUGUGAGGGAAUUCGGAGUGGCCACCCGUUCUGAAAGUUUGAUUUUCUUCUGGUGAACUGGACAUCCUUUUAUUUACAUUUGAAGUUUUUGGGCUUUUAAAUGUAAUAAGGCCGCUUAAUUAUUUUUGAUGGUUUUAAUAUGUAUUACUAAGAUAGGUAAUACUUAUAUUUAACUGUUGAAACUGGAUAGCUUUAGGGCGCGUUUUCAAAAACAACAGUUGAUUUCAAAAUAACACGACAACAAGCAAAGCUUCCGCAAUGAAA